UUAAGCGACUAAGCGUACACGGUGGAUGCCCUGGCAGUCAGAGGCGAUGAAGGACGUGCUAAUCUGCGAAAAGCGUCGGUAAGGUGAUAUGAACCGUUAUAGCCGGCGAUGUCCGAAUGGGGAAACCCAGUGUGAUUCGUCACACUAUCGUUAACUGAAUACAUAGGUUAACGAGGCGAACCGGGGGAACUGAAACAUCUAAGUACCCCGAGGAAAAGAAAUCAACCGAGAUUCCCCCAGUAGCGGCGAGCGAACGGGGAGCAGCCCAGAGUCUGAAUCAGCUUGUGUGUUAGUGGAACGGUCUGGAAAGUCCGACGGUACAGGGUGAUAGUCCCGUACACCAAAAUGCACAGGCUGUGAACUCGAAGAGUAGGGCGGGACACGUGGUAUCCUGUCUGAAUAUGGGGGGACCAUCCUCCAAGGCUAAAUACUCCUGACUGACCGAUAGUGAACCAGUACCGUGAGGGAAAGGCGAAAAGAACCCCGGCGAGGGGAGUGAAAAAGAACCUGAAACCGUGUACGUACAAGCAGUGGGAGCACCUUCGGGUGUGACUGCGUACCUUUUGUAUAAUGGGUCAGCGACUUAUAUUCUGUAGCAAGGUUAACCGUAUAGGGGAGCCGCAGGGAAACCGAGUCUUAACUGGGCGUUAAGUUGCAGGGUAUAGACCCGAAACCCGGUGAUCUAGCCAUGGGCAGGUUGAAGGUUGGGUAACACUAACUGGAGGACCGAACCGACUAAUGUUGAAAAAUUAGCGGAUGACUUGUGGCUGGGGGUGAAAGGCCAAUCAAACCGGGAGAUAGCUGGUUCUCCCCGAAAGCUAUUUAGGUAGCGCCUCGUGAAUUCAUCUUCGGGGGUAGAGCACUGUUUCGGCUAGGGGGUCAUCCCGACUUACCAACCCGAUGCAAACUACGAAUACCGAAGAAUGUUAUCACGGGAGACACACGGCGGGUGCUAACGUCCGUCGUGAAGAGGGAAACAACCCAGACCGCCAGCUAAGGUCCCAAAGUCAUGGUUAAGUGGGAAACGAUGUGGGAAGGCACAGACAGCCAGGAUGUUGGCUUAGAAGCAGCCAUCAUUUAAAGAAAGCGUAAUAGCUCACUGGUCGAGUCGGCCUGCGCGGAAGAUGUAACGGGGCUAAACCAUGCACCGAAGCUGCGGCAGCGACACUAUGUGUUGUUGGGUAGGGGAGCGUUCUGUAAGCCUGCGAAGGUGUGCUGUGAGGCAUGCUGGAGGUAUCAGAAGUGCGAAUGCUGACAUAAGUAACGAUAAAGCGGGUGAAAAGCCCGCUCGCCGGAAGACCAAGGGUUCCUGUCCAACGUUAAUCGGGGCAGGGUGAGUCGACCCCUAAGGCGAGGCCGAAAGGCGUAGUCGAUGGGAAACAGGUUAAUAUUCCUGUACUUGGUGUUACUGCGAAGGGGGGACGGAGAAGGCUAUGUUAGCCGGGCGACGGUUGUCCCGGUUUAAGCAUGUAGGCUGGUUAUCCAGGCAAAUCCGGAUAAUCAAGGCUGAGGUGUGAUGACGAGGCACUACGGUGCUGAAGUAACAAAUGCCCUGCUUCCAGGAAAAGCCUCUAAGCAUCAGGUAACAUUAAAUCGUACCCCAAACCGACACAGGUGGUCAGGUAGAGAAUACCAAGGCGCUUGAGAGAACUCGGGUGAAGGAACUAGGCAAAAUGGUGCCGUAACUUCGGGAGAAGGCACGCUGGUGUGUAGGUGAAGUCCCUGCGGAUGGAGCUGAGACCAGUCGAAGAUACCAGCUGGCUGCAACUGUUUAUUAAAAACACAGCACUGUGCAAACACGAAAGUGGACGUAUACGGUGUGACGCCUGCCCGGUGCCGGAAGGUUAAUUGAUGGGGUUAUCCGUAAGGAGAAGCUCUUGAUCGAAGCCCCGGUAAACGGCGGCCGUAACUAUAACGGUCCUAAGGUAGCGAAAUUCCUUGUCGGGUAAGUUCCGACCUGCACGAAUGGCGUAAUGAUGGCCAGGCUGUCUCCACCCGAGACUCAGUGAAAUUGAACUCGCUGUGAAGAUGCAGUGUACCCGCGGCAAGACGGAAAGACCCCGUGAACCUUUACUAUAGCUUGACACUGAACAUUGAGCCUUGAUGUGUAGGAUAGGUGGGAGGCUUUGAAGCGUGGACGCCAGUCUGCGUGGAGCCAACCUUGAAAUACCACCCUUUAAUGUUUGAUGUUCUAACGUUGGCCCCUGACCGGGGUUGCGGACAGUGUCUGGUGGGUAGUUUGACUGGGGCGGUCUCCUCCCAAAGCGUAACGGAGGAGCACGAAGGUUAGCUAAUCCUGGUCGGACAUCAGGAGGUUAGUGCAAUGGCAUAAGCUAGCUUGACUGCGAGCGUGACGGCGCGAGCAGGUGCGAAAGCAGGUCAUAGUGAUCCGGUGGUUCUGAAUGGAAGGGCCAUCGCUCAACGGAUAAAAGGUACUCCGGGGAUAACAGGCUGAUACCGCCCAAGAGUUCAUAUCGACGGCGGUGUUUGGCACCUCGAUGUCGGCUCAUCACAUCCUGGGGCUGAAGUAGGUCCCAAGGGUAUGGCUGUUCGCCAUUUAAAGUGGUACGCGAGCUGGGUUUAGAACGUCGUGAGACAGUUCGGUCCCUAUCUGCCGUGGGCGCUGGAGAAUUGAGGGGGGCUGCUCCUAGUACGAGAGGACCGGAGUGGACGCAUCACUGGUGUUCGGGUUGUCAUGCCAAUGGCACUGCCCGGUAGCUAAAUGCGGAAGAGAUAAGUGCUGAAAGCAUCUAAGCACGAAACUUGCCCCGAGAUGAGUUCUCCCUGAGACUUUAAGUCUCCUGAAGGAACGUUAAAGACGAUGACGUUGAUAGGCCGGGUGUGUAAGCGCAGCGAUGCGUUGAGCUAACCGGUACUAAUGAACCGUGAGGCUUAACCUU
rnacentral:rRNA from 1 species